GUACUCUCACACUCCUGAUUGUUUGGUUGGGAGUGGUGGACUUGGGUGUUGCUGCUUGACUGUGGCUCACCUUAAAUGCAGUAGUGCAACUCUUGGUUGGACAUAGUACGGCGUGAUAAGUGUCUUCACCGGCACCUCCUCACAGAGGGUGGCCGAUUGGGAGCUCUGUGCUUCCAACUGUCUUUGGACAACCACUGACA
rnacentral:misc_RNA from 1 species